UCUCCGUUGGUGAACCAGCGGAGGGAUCAUUACCGAGUUUACAACUCCCAAACCCAAUGUGAACGUUACCAAACUGUUGCCUCGGCGGGGUCUCUGCCCCGGGUGCGUCGCAGCCCCGGACCAAGGCGCCCGCCGGAGGACCAACCUAAAACGCUUAUUGUAUACCCCCUCGCGGGUUUUUUUAUAAUCUGAGCCUUCUCGGCGCCUCUCGUAGGCCUUUCGAAAAUGAAUCAAAACUUUCAACAACGGAUCUCUUGGUUCUG
rnacentral:misc_RNA from 1 species